AGGCAUUGAAUCAUCUCACAUCAUGACAAGAGAAGAGAGACAACAUUUCCUUAUUUGCUCUUAAUUUAGUGAUUUGGUUCAGUCCAGAAGAUAAAGCAAAUGGAAAAGAGAGCAGAGAAAGAGUUCCAGCUCUAAUUGAAAAGAUGGCAAGUCAAGCUUCUACAAUUGUGUCAUGAGAGCACUAGGAUUGAACCCAGGGCCUGAUGCAUGCCAGGCAAGCACUCUGCCACUGAGCCACAUUCCCAGCCCUGUGCAUGCAAUUUUGCACACAAGUGAUGAGAAGCUGAGGAUCUGAGCAGUUUUCCGAGAUUCCCCAGAAUAUGGAAGCCUUGUGGUGCAUAUGGGAGAACUGACAAGUAUACCAGAAGCUUGGAGAUGGGGACAGAGUUCUCUGGCGACCAUGCAACUGACGGCAAUCACCCUAAAGAGAAGCAUUUAGAAGCUAUAAAACCUAAGUGCCCUGCCAUGCACCAUUACAUCGCACAGUUAUUCAAAUUUAGUAAAUUAAAUUAAAUAAUCUCAAAUAACUUGAUUUCGGGGCUUUAAAAAUUCAUCUCUAUGGUGCCCAGUAGUCAAUUUCCUUUAUUAUUAUUGUUCAUCAAGUAGAAUUUAUGUUUUUUAUGAAUCAAAAUCGUCGCCUGCCUCGCGGUCCGCUGCCGCUCAGGGCUCCCUCGGUCUAGUCAGUAGCUUGGUGCGCCAUCUACCGGCCGCCUCUGGUACCGCGUCUGGGAGCCCUCACAUCAGCCAGUGGCUCCGGAAUUGGGGGAGUCGACCUGAACGCCCGGGCGGCCACGUAGUCCUUCCUAUAAAAAUCAUAGACCGGACGAUGCUGUCAGCUACUGUGCUAACUACUCCCCUGGACUUUGCAAGUGUGGUUCGCUUGAUGUCUCGGAGACAACCCAGAGAGACUGGCUGCGGAGCCUGGAGGGACGUUUUCAGUCCCCCCUGCAAAGCCAACACAUUUGGUCGAGUUCUGAGGCUCCCAUUCUUUACCAAAGCCCUAAUGUUUGCCCCACAUAUCUGGAAAGCCAAGUCGUCCCUUCCUCAUCCAAACCCUUAUUCUGCUUAUCUAUACUACUGUUCAAAGGGGACAUUUGAUGUUUAGAGGGCUGCUGCUGGUGCUAAAAGAUCCCCUAGAAAAAGACAGUGAUGAAUUUUGUCAUGUUUUCAAUUUUUAAAAAAUAAUUCGUUUCUGGGGAAAUCUUUUUAACAUUUCUGAAUUGGAGUCAAAGUCAGGGGUGGUAAUGGCAAUGGUAAGUCCUGCGUUGUUUUAGAGGCUGGUUUAAAUUUACAUAUAGUUUAAUUAUAGUUUAACACAUGA